UUAGCCCAUACGUGCUGCCACAGUCAACUGCUCCACCCAUUGGGAAUCUAAAUGAGCCUCUCGGUAACCUGAACAAGGUAGCCCUGGUGCACUGCUGCGGCCAAUUGCUUCAUCUGUUGGGAGCUGAGCAAACAGCUCAGGGAGCAUGAGACUCCGGACUAGCUCACCAAAUAUUGUAACCAAACUCAGGUUCGGGACACUUGACACCUGAACAACCAAUGCUCAAGAGACAAGUGUUGGGAUUCAAAAUGGAGUCAGUGCUGUUACAAUAAGAUCUUCUACUCAAUAAAGAAGCAAAAGUACUCACAGCAGAGUGGGAAAAAAAAGGAAAAAAAUUGCAUAUGGUUUACUUCAUGUUUCAGCAGAUUGCUGUGAGAAGGAGCCAUGUAAGUAACAACUGGCUGGCAGUGGAUAGAGGAAGAAAAAACAUCAUCAAGUUGUUGUGAUAGGAGUGGAUGAAUAGUGACCAACAUGACACCUGGAAAUCAGUAUCUAUGGAAUCCUGUAGAAGAUACCUGAAAUAUGCUUACAUUCACAAACCAGUACAACCUAAACUUGCUGGUCAGUAUCAUGUGGUCAAAGGAUCUGUCACUGGCAAUAUGCGGUACAUGAUCAAAGUUUACUUCUGCUGCAAAGAAUUGAAGAACGGUACUGUAAUUUUAAUUGAUGUAUGGCAUGUAAAACAUUGCUUUGCUUUCUGCUACAUGUGUGUUAUAACCAAAAGGUUAUAAUUUUAUUGUCAAAAUUAAAUGUAAUUCAGACUUAUGUACAGCAUGAACCAUAGAAUGAGUGAAUAUUUCUGGAAGCUUAUUUAAAGCCUCUAAUUAAUGUAAUACUUAUGAAGAGUUACUGGCUAGAAAAAGACAUUUGGCUUUUAAAAUACCACAUGCCCUAUUAUAAUCUUACAAAUAUUCAAAUGCCUAUGAAUAAAAACAAAAAAAAUUGAGCUAGAAAUACACAAUUAAAAGGCCUUAGAAGGAACACAGUUAUUAAUAAAAAUAUUACAGCAAUAACUCCUGAACCCCAUUUUAUGUUUCAAGUCCAGAUGGUCAUUGAGGUGUGAAGUAUCUUUUUUUGAAUAAAAUUUUGAGGAAAUUUUAAGACACAUUAAAAACACAACCAAGACAUAUGUGUCAAAGAGAUACUGACAGAGCUUAGAAAGUGUCUCCAGAAGAAAAGAGUUAUCCAGAGACCUAUAAUCCAUUCCGAUCAAAUCUCCUGAAAGAUAUGCUAGUAAAAGAGAUUUAAUAAAUAUACUAUUUACUAAUAGAAUGUAGAUUAUUUGACUAGAAGUUCUUAUGACAAACUUGUAAUCCAUAGAUUUUGGAGACAAGGGAAUAUAGCUUCCUGUAACAUGUCAUGAAAGCUUUGGUAUGUAAAAUAAGCUUUUUUCUUGAUGAAAAUGGCUUUCUUUUAUGUAAACAAUAAUAACAUCUAGCACUUAGGAAACUCAUAUAUCAUAUACAGCUGGACAUCACUGUUUCCUAAUGAGGCUGGAAGGAAAAUAGGAAAAAAUAUCUGUAGCUCUAGACUUGCCAUUUCACCUGUGCUUCACAACUACUUCUACUUUGAAAGUAAUAUUAAAGUUUGAUAUUGGGUAAGAUCUGAGAUUCCUGUAUCUGACUUGAUGAUAUGAUAUUUUCUGUUAUCUCAAUAUACAUACAUCUCAAUGUAUAAUUUUUUGAAAGGCAUACACGUUACCUGAAUGAUACAAGUUUCCAUUGGAGUUUUGUUUCAUUGUGUUUUGUUUUUUAUCAAGGGAAAAUAAAGAGGGAGAAAUAAACUGUCAUUACUCAAGGAGAGCAUGCACAAUACAACUUUCCAGCUCUAAUUCCAAAGUUUGAUUUCUCUUAUUUGAAGCUCGUGAUAUUUUGUUUGCUCAAAAAUGGGAAGGAUGGGGUGGUUAACAGACUUCUUGUUGGAAUUAUUUAACAGACUUAUGUAAUUUCCUGAGUCUGUUUUCUUUUCCAUGUUUCAAUUGUGUGAUGGGAAAGUGAGUCAUUUUUCUAAGGACUAAAAUACAAUAUAAGAAUAAACUUUAUAAACCCAAAGAGUUUGAAGACAAGAAUAUCUGACCAAAAAUAGACACAUUUCCCCUUCAUUGUUGUCAUCUGCAAACACCCAAGACAUUUUUCUACUUAUGAGGUUCUUGAGUCUUGGUUCACACUAUUUCUUUCUAUCCCUUUUCCUCCAUGAGAUCCAUAUCCAUAUGGAAAAUUUGCCCAUAAUUCUGGUCUCCAAAUUUGUGUAGCCCAUCAACAAAAUUAUACUUUAUUUUCCACCUUUAUCCCCCAAUCUCAUAGACAAACUUUUCAACCUGUCAGUAUAAUAAAUAGCAUAAUUUCUGAAAUAUCUAAUUCAAGUAUCCUGUGAUUUGAAACACCCUCCUAUAUUUCUUGUUCACUUAAGUGGUAACACUUUCAAAAUCUCUAUCAUUCCAAGACACUAAAAGUUUUAAAAGAAAAUGGUGCUUUCAUAGAUUUGGUGCUAAAACUCACUUUGUGGUAAAACCUGACAUGAUUGACUUCAUUCAUCACGUUUUUAUGGUCAUUAUUUUUCUUAUUUGAUGUGACUAUGCAUUUGUUCAGAGCAGAAAAAGAAUCAUAUUUAAUUAGCAGGUUCUUCUCCAAUCCUUCUUGGAGAUGUUCCAUAAAAAACUUAAUUAUUUAAGUCUAAAUCAUGCUGAAUUAUGAAACAAAUUUGGUUCCAAGGAUUUCAGACAAGUGAUUGUAUACCAGGAAUACAAUAUUUAUUUGAACUCGCCAAGACUUAAAAUCCUGCGUUCAGCUACUUUUUAUCUUAUUAUCACCAUACAUCAUCUUUCAUGCCUCCUGUUUAGAAUAACAAGUCCAUCAUUACAAGAAAAAGUUGCAAACACAAGGAAUGUUUUCUUCUCUUAUUAACAAAACAAAACAGAUAACUUGUCUGUGUUUUUCCUGGGUGCAUCUCUGCAGUUGAAAUAUCAUGACCACCAGUCCUCUUUAAAUUCAUCUCAAGAGAGGAAACCACAGACACUCAGCUUGCCUUCUAGCAAUGGUAAAUUCCUUAAGCUAAGUGUUUCCUAAUUGCUUUAUUCUCCUUUGAACUCACUCAGUUUCUCUCCUGUUGCUCAUGAUGGAUAAUCAGAUGUGCUUACCUCCACCGAUUUAUUAUCCAGCCAAUUGAAAGGCUCAAAUAGAAAAUGUCAUGCUUCUCCCCGACCAAACCAUGAAUUUUGUCUUCAGUUCCUCACUCUCAUUCAAUUUCAAUUUUUUAACAAUGCAUAAUAACCUGAAAUUCUCCUACUUACUUGUUAAUUUGACUGUUGUCUGUCUUCAUUACAGCUGGAUUAGAAACUACAAUAAAGAAAAAAAAAAAAAAAGUUUCAGCCUUAUUCCUUCUGAAGUUUCCAGGUCUAGAAUAGUUCUUGUAACAGAGUAGGUGCUUAAUUUAAUAAUAUAAUUUAACCUUAAAAUCCUGUUUUAUUACAAUCUACUUAAAGUGGACUCCUAGUUGUGGGUGAAUGAGUCUAAUUUAAAAUAAAGAGAUAAAGUUUCUUUUUUUUUUUCUGUGCCAACAAUCUUAAAAUACAAAUUUAAAACUGUGCCUUCAGUUUUGCUUCUCCUUAAAUACAAAAUUGGCGCUUGAUAAAAUAAGUUAUAUUUACUUUUCUUGGAAGCAUUUCCGUUUGAAUUAUGUUGAAUUACCUGAAUCAACAGAGCAUUUUCAAGAUAUAAAAAUUUUAAAAAAUUAGAUGUAUUUCUCAUUGCCAGAUUAAAAUUCUCUUUAUUACUUUAACACUUUAUGAGCUUGUCAGGUAUAGAAUUUGGUUCUAUCUGAUCUGAAAGUUAAUUACUGUUUAUGUGAGAAAGUUGAUUCACCUAAUAUUUCUUUGCACAAAUUUGCUAGUUUUAGAUUCGAGACUUCAAGUGUAAAAAUAAAGUCGUUAAGUACAUUAAGGACAAUAUGUUUUUCAAGGGUCCUUCCAGAUGCUUGUUUUUGUGAUUAUAUUCGUUAAAGAAGAAAGGAAAGAAACAAGAGAAGAAGAAAAAAAUGAGAAGAAAGAGGAGAAAGAAAAGAAGAGUGAGCAGGAGGAAAGACGAAGUAGGUGCUAGAGAAACUAAAGGUGCAUAGUCUCCAGCAUUAGCUUGUGUACUGUAACACCACAAUCAUGAAGUUUUAUCUCAUAGCCUCUUUAUAUACUGCUGUUGGAAUAUAUGAGCCUUUAAACACAUUUUAGAAGGUUUUGUUAGCUCCCUAGAUGCUGAAUUAAGGGCCGGCACAAUUUUGCAUUGCAUAAAACUGCCACCCAGGGCUCCAGAUCCUUCUUUUAGUGUCCUUUUCCUCAGUCAGUGUCUCACAUUUCCUGCUUAUUCCCUCUCUCCCAGUACUUGACUGUGCUUAUUACUGAUUCACACUUUAGAUUCAAAGUGGUUUUUUUUCCCAUUCUCUUAACAAAACUGUGCUUUUCUCAAUAACUGUAAGCCUUAUACUAAGAUAAAGCCUCGGAGUAAAGUUGUUCUAAUUUCUUUGACCAAGCCUGGGGAAAUGGAAGGAGAAAAUAGAAAAUUCAAAAGUUGCUCCCCCCCACCGCCCGAUAUAACCAGUUUCUUGACCAAAAAAAUAGCAAGGUUGGGAAUUCAUAUUUUUGCAUAAGAAGCUAUCAUGCAAUCAGGGAUCAUAUAGAAAGUAAGCCGUUACAACACAGAAUCGUAUCUAUUUCUUGGAACAAGAAAUAGAAGAAACUGUAAAAGGGCACUGCAGAUGGUCCCUUGUCAAUUUCUAGCUACCAACAACCACGGCAGCAAUUAUAACAUUUAAAAUAGUGAUUCCUUAUAAUUUACUCUAUCAUAGUAGUCUCCCCUGGAAGCAC
rnacentral:lncRNA from 10 species